GUUUAGCUCAGUGGUCGAACGUUGGCUUUGGAAGCCACAGGUCGGUGGUUCGAACCCACCAGGGCA
rnacentral:tRNA from 1 species